rnacentral:rRNA from 1 species
UUCGUAGGCGGUGCGGUAAGUCGGAAGUGAAAUCUCUGGGCUUAACUCAGAGGCUGCUUUCGAAACUGCCGUGCUGGAGUGCGGGAGAGGCGAGUGGAAUUGCAGGUGUAGCGGUGAAAUGCGUAGAUAUCUGCAGGAACACCCGUGGCGAAGGCGGCUCGCUGGACCGCAACUGACGCUGAGGAACGAAAGCUAGGGGGGCAAACA